CACCGCUGUUUUUCUCGGAAUAACGUUAGAUGCUAAACUCCAAUGGGGCCCUCAUAUAAAUAAUUUAUCGAACAGACUUAAUUCUGCUGCAUAUGCGGUUAAAAAGAUUCGCCAGUUGACAGACAUAGAAACGGCGAGAAUGGUAUAUUUU